rnacentral:rRNA from 1 species
UUCCUACGGGAGGCAGCAGCAAGGAAUUUUCCACAAUGGGCGCAAGCCUGAUGGAGCAACGCCGCGUGCGGGAUGACCCCUUCGGGGUGUAAACCGCUUUUCGAGGGGACGAAGGCAAUGACGGUACCCUCGGAAUAAGGAUCGGCUAACUACGUGCCAGCAGCCGCGGUAAGACGUAGGAUCCGAGCGUUGUCCGGAGUUACUGGGCGUAAAGCGCGCGCAGGCGGAUACGCGCAUCGGCGGUGAAAGCCCCCCGCUCAACGGGGGAGGGUCCGUCGAGAUGGCGUGUCUGGAGGCAGGGAGAGGCCAGUGGAAUUCCGGGUGUAGUGGUGAAAUGCGUAGAGAUCCGGAGGAACACCAGUGGCGAAGGCGGCUGGCUGGACCUGACCUGACGCUGAGGCGCGAAGGCGUGGGGAGCGAACGGGAUUAGAUACCCCGGUAGUCCACGCAGUAACGAUGGAGACUAGGUGUGGCGGGAGUUGACCCCUGCCGUGCCGGCGCUAACGCAGUAAGUCUCCCGCCUGGGGAGUACGGCCGCAAGGCUAAAACUCAAAGGAAUUGACGGGGGCCCGCACAAGCAGCGGAGCGUGUGGUUUAAUUCGACCGCACCUUACCAAGGUUUGACAUCCCUGGAACCCGCUGAAAGGUGGGGGUGCCUUCGGGAGCCAGGAGACAGGUGCUGCAUGGCUGUCGUCAGCUCGUGUCGUGAGAUGUUGGGUUAAGUCCCGCAACGAGCGCAACCCCCGUGGCUAGUUACGAGGUGUGUCUAGCCAGACUGCCGGAACCAAACCGGAGGAAGGUGGGGAUGAUGUCAAGUCAGCAUGGCCCUUACACCUUGGGCGACACACACGCUACAAUGGCCGGGACAAUGGGCAGCCAAGCGGUAACGCGGAGCCAAUCCCCCAAACCCGGUCUCAGUUCAGAUCGUGGGCUGCAACUCGCCCCGUGAAGGCGGAGUUGCUAGUAACCGCCGGUCAGCAUUACGGCGGUGAAUAUGUUCCCGGGCCUUGUACACCCGCAU